AUCUUUGAUAUGGCAGUGGUGAUAUCAUAGUCAAUGAGGUUAAUCUGAGGUGUGAUUAUUGCUAAUUGAAAUUGCUCCUUA